rnacentral:tRNA from 1 species
CGGGAUGUAGCGCAGUUGGUAGCGCAAUAGCUUUGGGAGCUAUGGGCCGCAGGUUCAAGUCCUGUCAUCCCGA